GACGAACGCUGGCGGCGUGCUUAACACAUGCAAGUCGAACGGGGCAAUUGAAAGCUUGCUUUUGAGAGCCUAGUGGCAAACGGGUGAGUAACGCGUAGGAAACCUACCUCCGGGAUGGGGACAACCGUCCGAAAGGACAGCUAAUACCGCAUAAAGCCUGAGGGUGAAAGCAGCAAUGCGCUAUCAGAUGUGCCCCAAAACGGGGNUUAGCUAGUAGGUGAGGUAAAGGCUCACCUAGGCGACGAUCUCUAGCUGGUCUGAGAGGAUGAUCAGCCACAUUGGGACUGAGACACGGCCCAGACUUCCACGGGAGGCAGCAGU
rnacentral:rRNA from 1 species